rnacentral:tmRNA from 1 species
GGGGGCGAACGGUCUCGACGGGGGUAAGCCCUCUUCGGAAGCGAGCCGAGGUUGCCUGCCGUCCUCGUAAAAAAACGGCAGGGAAAAGAUAAGUGCCAACGAAUACGUUCCUCUCGCUGCCUAAUUAACAGGUAGCCGUCCACUACGAGGUUUGGCCAGCGCCUCGUAGUUGGGCGUGACCCAGCUGGCCAGGUAGCUCAGAUGCGCCUCACGUCUGAAGCUACCUUACCUAGUGAGGCUGGUCAGUCAGUAGCCUGUCUGUGGGCGACUGACUGACGAGAAUCAAAACACAGACUGCGCUCGGAGAUGCCAAAGAGGGUUUACUUUCGGACGCGGGUUCGAUUCCCGCCGCCUCCACCA